rnacentral:rRNA from 1 species
AACGAACGCUGGCGGCAGGCUUAACACAUGCAAGUCGAACGAGAUCUUCGGAUCUAGUGGCAGACGGGUGAGGAACACGUGGGAACAUCCCUUUCAGUUCGGAAUAACGUUGGGAAACUAACGCUAAUACCGGAUACGUCCUUCGGGAGAAAGAUUUAUCGCUGAAAGAUUGGCCCGCGUCUGAUUAGCUAGUUGGUGAGGUAAUGGCUCACCAAGGCUACGACCAGUAGCUGAUCUGAGAGGAUGAUCAGCCACAUUGGGACUGAGACACGGCCCAAACUCCUACGGGAGGCAGCAGUGGGGAAUAUUGGACAAUGGGCGCAGGCCUGAUCCAGCCAUGCCGCGUGAGUGAUGACGGCCUUCGGGUUGUAAAGCUCUUUUGUCCGGGAAGAUAAUGACUGUACCGGAAGAAUAAGCCCCGGCAAACUUCGUGCCAGCAGCCGCCGUAA